AUUUUCAAUUUUACCUCAGCAUUUAGGCUAGGCAGAACUGGGUCUGGUCCAUACUUUGAUGGGAAACUGCUUGGGAAUACCAGAUGCUGUAGGCU
rnacentral:rRNA from 1 species